rnacentral:rRNA from 1 species
AUACGGAGGGUGCAAGCGUUACUCGGAAUCACUGGGCGUAAAGCGCGCGCAGGCGGGCUGAUAAGUUGGAUGUGAAAGCCUACGGCUCAACCGUAGAACUGCAUCCAAAACUGUCAGUCUAGAGUCUGGGAGGGGAAGAUGGAAUUAGUUGUGUAGGGGUAAAAUCCGUAGAGAUAACUAGGAAUACCAAAAGCGAAGGCGAUCUUCUGGAACAGUACUGACGCUGAGGCGCGAAAGCGUGGGGAGCAAACAGUAUUAGAAACCCCAGUAGUCC